rnacentral:rRNA from 1 species
CCUACGGGAGGCAGCAGUGGGGGAUAUUGCACAAUGGGGGAAACCCUGAUCCAGCGAAGCCGCGUGGGCGAAGAAGUAUUUCCGUAUGUAAAGCCCUAUCAGCAGGGAAGAAGAAAUGACGGUACCUGAGUAAGAAGCACCGGCUAAAUACGUGCCAGCAGCCGCGGUAAUACGUAUGGUGCACGCGUUAUCCGGAUUUACUGGGUGUAAAGGGAGCGCAGGCGGCACGGCAAGCCUGAUGUGAAAGCCCGGGGCCCAACCGCGGGACUGCAUUGGGAACUACUGGGCUGGAGUGCGGGAGAGGUAGGCGGAAUGCGUGGUGUAGCGGUGAAAUGCGGAGAUAUUAGGAAGAACACCAGUGGCGAAGGCGGCCUACUGGACGGUGACUGACGCUGAGGCUCGAAAGCGUGGGGAGCGAACAGGAUUAGAUACCCUGGUAGUC